rnacentral:rRNA from 1 species
GAUGAACGCUGGCGGCGUGCCUAAUACAUGCAAGUCGAGCGAACGGACGAGAAGCUUGCUUCUCUGAUGUUAGCGGCGGACGGGUGAGUAACACGUGGAUAACCUACCUAUAAGACUGGGAUAACUUCGGGAAACCGGAGCUAAUACCGGAUAAUAUUUUGAACCGCAUGGUUCAAAAGUGAAAGACGGUCUUGCUGUCACUUAUAGAUGGAUCCGCGCUGCAUUAGCUAGUUGGUAAGGUAACGGCUUACCAAGGCAACGAUGCAUAGCCGACCUGAGAGGGUGAUGGGCCACCCUGAAACUGAGACGCGGUCCAGACUCCGAGGGGAGGCAGAAGUGGGGAAUCUUCGGAAAAGGGGGAAAGCCUGACGGAGCAACGCCGGGUGGGUGAAGAAGGUCUGCGGGUCGUAAAACUCUGUUAUUGGGGAAAAACAUUUGUGUAAGUAACGGUGCACCUCUGGCGGGAACCUAAACAGAAGGCCACGGCAAACUCGGG